rnacentral:rRNA from 1 species
GCGCAGCAGGCGCGAAACCUCCGCAAUACACGAAAGUGUGACGGGGCCAUCCCGAGUGCCGUCCGCUGAGGACGGCUUUUCCCCAGUGUACAUAGCUGGGGGAAUAAGGAGAGGGCAAGCCUGGUGUCAGCCGCCGCGGUAAUACCAGCUCUCCGAGUGGUGGGGACGCUUAUUGGGCCUAAAGCAUCCGUAGCCGGCUGGGCAAGUCCUCCGUUAAAUCCAACGAUUCAAUCGUUGGGCUGCGGGGGAUACCGUCCAGCUUGGGGGCGGGAGAGGCCGACGGUAUUCCCGGGGUAGGGGUGAAAUCCUAUAAUCCCGGGAGGACCACCAGUGCGAAGGCUGUCGGCUAGAACGCGCCCGACGGUGAGGGAUGGAAGCU